GCCAGUGUGGUGUAGUGGUUUGAGUAUUGGACUUUGACUCUGGAGAUCAGGGUUCAAAUCCCUGCUUGGCCA